rnacentral:rRNA from 1 species
CGAUUAAAGCACCUUCGGGUGUGUAUAGAGUGGUGAACGGGUGAGUAACACGUGACCAACCUGCCUCUUACAUUGGGACAACCAAAAGAAAUUCUGGCUAAUACCAAAUACUCCGCACAUAUCACAUGAUGUAUGCGGGAAAGCUUUUGCGGUAAGAGAUGGGGUCGCGGCCCAUUAGGUAGACGGCGGGGUAGAAGCCCACCGUGCCGAUGAUGGGUAGCCGGGUUGAGAGACCGACCGGCCACAUUGGGACUGAGAUACGGCCCAGACUCCUACGGGAGGCAGCAGUGGGGAAUAUUGCGCAAUGGGGGAAACCCUGACGCAGCAACGCCGCGUGCGGGAUGAAGGCCUUCGGGUUGUAAACCGCUUUCAGCAGGGAAGACAUCGACGGUACCUGCAGAAGAAGCCCCGGCUAACUACGUGCCAGCAGCCGCGGUAAUACGUAGGGGGCGAGCGUUAUCCGGAUUCAUUGGGCGUAAAGCGCGCGCAGGCGGUUGCUCAAGCGGAACCUCUAAUCUCGGGGCUUAACCUCGAGCCGGGUUCCGAACUGGACGACUCGAGUGCGGUAGAGGCAGAUGGAAUUCCCGGUGUAGCGGUGGAAUGCGCAGAUAUCGGGAAGAACACCAACGGCGAAGGCAGUCUGCUGGGCCGUCACUGACGCUGAGGCGCGAAAGCUGGGGGAGCGAACAGGAUUAGAUACCCUGGUAGUCCC